GCAUAUCAAUAAGCGGAGGAAAAGAAACCAACCGGGAUUGCCUCAGUAACGGCGAGUGAAGCGGCAAGAGCUCAAAUUUGAAAGCUGGCUCCUUCGGAGUCCGCAUUGUAAUUUGCAGAGGAUGCUUUGGGUGCGGCCCCCGUCUAAGUGCCCUGGAACGGGCCGUCAGAGAGGGUGAGAAUCCCGUCUUGGGCGGGGUGUCCGUGCCCGUGUAAAGCUCCUUCGACGAGUCGAGUUGUUUGGGAAUGCAGCUCUAAAUGGGUGGUAAAUUUCAUCUAAAGCUAAAUACUGGCCGGAGACCGAUAGCGCACAAGUAGAGUGAUCGAAAGAUGAAAAGCACUUUGAAAAGAGAGUUAAACAGCACGUGAAAUUGUUGAAAGGGAAGCGCUUGCGACCAGACUCGCCCGCGGGGUUCAGCCGGCAUUCGUGCCGGUGUACUUCCCCGUGGGCGGGCCAGCGUCGGUUUGGGCGGCCGGUCAAAGGCCCCUGGAAUGUAGUACCCUCCGGGGUACCUUAUAGCCAGGGGUGCAAUGCGGCCAGCCUGGACCGAGGAACGCGCUUCGGCACGGACGCUGGCAUAAUGGUCGUAAACGACCCGUCUUGAAACACGGACCAAGGAGUCUAACAUCUACGCGAGUGUUCGGGUGUCAAACCCGUGCGCGCAGUGAAAGCGAACGGAGGUGGGAGCCCCCUCGCGGGGCGCACCAUCGACCGAUCCUGAUGUCUUCGGAUGGAUUUGAGUAAGAGCGUAAAUGUGGGGACCCGAAAGAUGGUGAACUAUGCCUGAAUAGGGCGAAGCCAGAGGAAACUCUGGUGGAGGCUCGCAGCGGUUCUGACGUGCAAAUCGAUCGUCAAAUUUGGGUAUAGGGGCGAAAGACUAAUCGAACCAUCUAGUAGCUGGUUCCUGCCGAU
rnacentral:rRNA from 1 species